AGGGGUGUAGCUCAGUUGGUAGAGCGCUUGUCUCCAAAACAAGAGGCCGCAGGUUCAAUCCCUGUCACCCCUG
rnacentral:tRNA from 1 species